GUUUGUCAUGGUGUGAGUUGUAGUCUAAGUACCUGUCAGUGUGUGUAGGUUUUCGGUAUACGUCAAUAGAAAGGACCUUUCUAUUGACGUAUACCGAAAACCUACACACACUGACAGGUACUUAGACUACAACUCACAAC
rnacentral:miRNA from 1 species